UCAUAUCACAUUGAAACACCAGUUCCCAUGUGAUCACCAAUUAAGCAAUGUUGAGUCUGGUCAGUACCUAGAUGGGUGACCACUUGAGAAUACCAGGUGCUAUA